UCCUGCUUCUCUCUCUUCUCCCCCUCCCCCUCCCCCUGUCAACCGACAAGGCGCCUGCGCAAUCGUUCCGACCGUUUCCCGCUCACCUCGGCUCUUCUGCUGGCUGUCGCCGCCGUAGGCAAAACGACGCCUCCCGGGUCCUAAAGCCGGUGCUCAUACAUCCCGCGCUGAAAAGUCGAACAUACAUGAGUUGAGUGGGGAGAAGACUCAUGGCGGCACGAGACACCCACCGCAGCUGUCUCUCAGGAAUGCAAUCUUGUACAUUGGAAUUUGGCAUCCCUGAGAUCCAGAAGAGAGGAAACCGGCAAGUAUUUCUGCCAGAUGGGCUGGAAUGCACAGGGGGUGGGGGAGAAACUAGGUCUGUUUAAACAGAAUUUUAGAUCUGUAUCACUUAAACAUGGAACUGGAUUCUUAAAUCAUUAUUGCAAGAUUAAACAGUCAAUGCAAAAGCAAACCGAAGACCAGCCCAGACAUGGUGGGGUCAUCAU